GUGUCGGUGGUGUAACGGCUUAGCACAUGCUUGCGGAAAGAGUAAGAUCUGAGUUCGAAUCCCGGCUGACGCA